rnacentral:lncRNA from 1 species
CCCUGACUGGCGCCUGUGGAGCUGAGGGCGCUGCGGGCGGGAUCGCGGGGUAGGGCCGGCGCCAGGCCUUCAAGUCAAACCACUGACGGGUGCCGUUAAGACCCGCGCUCGAGCGCCCACCCCAAAUCUCGAGACGUGCGGGUCGCGGGCGGCCGGCCCUGGCCCGAGAGCUCGCUCUUGUUCCCGCGGGAUCUCAAGCUGGCGUGAGGCCGAGCCGGCCUGGGCCGGGCAUCCCCUGGCACAGCCUGCGGGCCUGUCCGGGAAGCUGUUGCGACACUCGGGCGGUGGCCUGUUAGACUCGGGUCGAGUCUGGAGUGUUGGCUUUCCAAGCCGUGGGCUAGCUAACUCCUGAGGACCCGGAGCUCCUCAGGCCCCAGCGCCCCGCGCUGGGCUUGCACCUGAAGUCGCCCAGUACACCCCGCAGUUGUUGAAUGAAUGAGUUCUUCGGGGGCCCGCGGUCGCUGGGCCCUGCGCCAGACUGAGAGCUGGGGGCGGGGAAGGGAGAUGUCGAAAUGGGGCAGGAUGAUUCAGAGAUGACGACAGGUGGAGAAGCCAGACUGGAGGCAGCUGCCCAAGCACAGCAGGAAAAGUAUAUGGGGAAGUUCGGACGUACAGCUUGUCGCUGAGUGACGCAAUGAUGAACCUACCGCCUGGUGAUAACUGCCUUUUGUGAUAAGACCCCUCUCCCUCCUGGACAGGUCGGUGGAGUCUGAGAGGGGCGCGCACUGGUUAAAGAACAAUGCCAGCAAUUCCCAGCCUUGAGCACCACCUCCUGGGCCGUGACGUUGCACAGGAGCUUCACUAGGGCUGCAGGCUCGGUUGAGGAACACAGGCGCUUUCCCUACUCCGUCUGCCUCGCUUCUUCAGUUUCCCGUCCCUGGAGCGUGUUUGCACAAGCCUCCCCACUGUUUCCAGCUCUCUCUUUACUGCCUAUUUUACUGAGAUGAUGAUGCAAUUGUGAACUUUUCCAUCUGUUUAUAGGUUUUCCGUAAAUAGGGAAGGGGUUUUCCUUUUUUUCUCUAAAGCUUAGCGGUUUCUGGGCCUCUGGUUUUUCGGGGUUCUGUUUUUUAACUUUUUUUUUUUAACUCAUCUAUUCUCUUCCUAUUCAGCAGUGGUUAUUAACUUUUGCGUCUCGACCUUUUGGAAAAUAAGCUACAAAUCCUCUUCUCCUUCCCCUCCACCUUCCACCCACCCUGCACACACACAAUUUUGAAAAUAAUUUCUGAAUUUGCAGAGUCCCUGAAGGUGACUCGUGGCCCCCCGAGGGGUCCAUUAACUUCAGAUUAAGAAAAGCCUGAGUUCUCACACGUCUCGCAAAAAGAAACUCACUCAAUCCUGCUAGAGUAUUCAUUCCCUUUACUGCCAAACUGCUCCAGUAAUGACCUAUAUAUACCUGCUAUGUCCUUUCUCUCCUUAAGCCCUACAUUUUUACUCUUUUAUUCAGUGGUCGCAAAUGACUUUUCCAAAUCCAAUGGUCUUUUUCUUGUUCUGAUUUUUCUGGACUAAGAGAUAACACUUAGCCCCUCCAUUGACCCAUCCCUCACUGAAACUUUUUCCUACCUUCAGGAACCACUCUAUCUCUUCUAUCUUUUAGACUUCUGAGUCUCCUACACUUCUCUGCCCACUGGGGAGGAACAUUCCUAAAGGUUUAAUGCUUCUUGUUCAUCUUUAAUACCUUAGGGAACUUUACCAUCCCAAAUCUGUUUUCCUUUUUGGAGCCCUGUCUAUAUUUCCCUAUUGCUUACUCUUUAACUGAAAUUUCCAUGUGAACUCUUCAGUAAAUAUUUAUUGAGUAACAACUUUAUGCCUGACACUGUACUUGAAGCCAGUGACACAGGACAGAUGGAGUCCAUGCUUUCACGAAGCUUACUUUUUAAUGGGGGGAAAGAGAUAGACCAAUAAGAAAAAUAUCAGAUAGCUCUAGGUACCAUGCUGAUAACUGAAAUAGGGAGGUGGAUAAAGUGUGACUGGGUAGCUACAUUUGCAUGACCAGGAAAGGCCUUUCUGAGGAGACGACACUAAGGUAAGUUCUGAAUAAGAGGCAGGAACUCAUGAUGGACUCAGACAAGAGCAUUCCAGAAGAAACAGGAGGUACAACAAUCCUAAGGUAACAACAAGAUUGGUGUAUGAAGGAACAGAAAGAAAGUCUAUGUGGCUGGAGCAUGGUGAGUGAGGGGGGAAGUGAUACAAGAUGAGGUUGGAAAGAUAGGCAGAGGGUGAAUAUCCACCUUAAUUUCUGACUCAGCAUGUCCAUUCCAAACUCAGCCUUUCCACUCCCCACCCCAACCAAUUCCUCCUAAAUAUUCCUUGUCUACCCAAUCAAUCAGACUUUAAAGCUGGUAUCCUCCUUGACUACCCCUUCAGAAUAAUUAUUCUGAAAUGUUUCUUUUGUUCAUGCUCUCCUUUUCCUUCUUAUUGAUAUUAUUCUUUCCCAGUAUCUGAUCACUUUACAUCUAUAUUGUAAUAACCUUUGAAAGGCCUCCCUACCUCUGGAUCCCCUGGCUUUACUAGUAUUUGGAUUUGCCUCCUUCCAGGGACAUUGUAGGAUUGUUCUUCCCACCUCCUUGAAGAUAGGCAUGGCUGUGAGAUUUGCUUUGACCAAUGAAAUGUGAGAGAAGCAUGAGAGCCACACAUUAACUUCCCCUGCCACAUGACUGGUGAUGUUCAGAUGGUGGGAGCACCAUCAGUCUGGGGCCCUGGUAAGGAUGAUGAAGCAGAGUUGCCUACUUGCCACACCUUUCUUCCCAGGUGGACUUUCAGCAUGAGUAAGAAAUAAAUCGAUGUUGUUUUCAGACACAGAUUUUAGGAUUAGUCCAUAUCAUAGCAUAAUCUAGCCCAGUGCUUCUCAGACUUUAAUGUGAUAUUAGUCACCUGAAUAAUUUGUUAAAAUGCAGACUAUGAUUCUGUAGGUCUGCGUGGGGACUGAGAUCUGCGUUUUUGACAAGCUCCCAGGUGAUGAUGCUGCUAUACCUUGGACCACACUUUGAAUAGCAAGGACAUAACCCAUCCUAUCUUGUAUACCCCUCUCAACACAUCUACACACACUCUAUCCAACGUCUCACCAGCACUUAAAGCUUUCUGAAAAACAAAUUAGCAAGGAAAGAAACCUCUUUCUUGGUGAUAUUCUUUAUAACCUCUUAAUAGCUUCCCAUACCUGCAACUCCUCAGUCCGGACUGUAAAAAUCUUAUUUUCUUAUAUUCCUAGGACAAUUUUUUUCUGCAUUCUCAUUUAUUUUCUUUAGUAAUAGAAACCCCAAGUUUUAGCUUAGGCACAUGCUUCCAAGCUGAAGUCCCUAUUUUCCCCAGCUUCCCUUGCAGCUAGCUUUGGCUGUGUGACUAAGUUCUAGCUAGUGGGAUGUGAGUAUAAGUGAUGUGAAACAUGUGGGUUCUGCCUUUAAAAAAAAGGAUUAUGUCCUCUUUGAGUAUUUUUCUCAUUUUCUCCCUUCUUAUGAUCUUGAAUACAGACCCAGAAGAUGUCAACCAUUUUUGGCCAUGAGGACAAAGCCUAUACCUUAGCAGGUGGCAGAGGAAAAAGUAGAAGAAACUUGUUUCCUUGUGGGUAACACUAGUACCUCUGGACUACUCAUGUUCUGGUUGCCUCACAAAGUGAAACGUCUGGGAAGUGACUGCUCAUGGAUACAAAGUUUCUUUUUAGUUGAUGAAAAUGUUUUAAGGUUAUAUUGUGGUAAUGGUUGCACAAGCCUGUGAAUAUACUAAAAACUAUUGAAUUGGGUGAAUUUUGUGGUAUAUAAAUUAUGUCUCAAUAAAGCUGUUUUUGAAAAGGUGAAAGAUCAGUGCCCGCCUGGUGGCGCAGCUGUUAAGUUCACAUGUUCCACUUCUCAGCGGCCUGGGCUUCGCCGGUUUGGAUCCCAGGUGUGGACAUGGCACCACUUGGCAAAAAA